AACUGGGACUUGAUGACAGGGGAUGGAUCACUUGAUAAAUUGCUCUGUGCUGUUCAUUCCCUCUGAAGCAUCUGGCAGUGGCCACUGUUGGAAGACAAGAUACUGGGCUAGAUGAGCCAUUGAUUUGACCCAGUAUGGAUGUUCUUA